UCGGGAAUUUUGGGCAAUGGGCGAAAGCCUGAUGGAGCGACGUCGCGUGAUGGACGAAGUGCUUCGGCACGUAAACAUCUUUUAUGUGGGAUGAAAUUAUUGACAGUACCACAUGAAUAAGGGGCUCCUAACUCUGUGCCAGCAGGAGCGGUAAUACAGAGGCCCCAAGCGUUAUCCGGAAUCACUGGGCGUAAAGGGUGUCGAGGCGGUUGUAUUAGUCGUUCGUAAAAUCUACGAGCUUAACUUGUAGGCGGCGAACGAAACGGUACGACUUGAGGUUUGGAGAGGUGCGUGGAACUCACGGUGUAGGGGUGAAAUCCGUUGAUAUCGUGGGGAACACCAAAGGCGAAGGCAGCGCACUGGCCAAAAUCUGACGCUCACACACGAAAGCUAGGGUAGCGAAGAGGAUUAGAUACCCCCGUAGUCCCUG
rnacentral:rRNA from 1 species